rnacentral:rRNA from 1 species
CCUACGGGAGGCUGCAGUGGGGAAUAUUGCACAAUGGGCGAAAGCCUGAUGCAGCAACGCCGCGUGAAGGAAGAAGGGUUUCGGCUCGUAAACUUCUAUCAACAGGGACGAAAGAAAUGACGGUACCUGAAUAAUAAGCCCCGGCUAACUACGUGCCAGCAGCCGCGGUAAUACGGAGGGGGCGAGCGUUAUCCGGAAUUAAUGGGUGUACAGGGUGAGUAGGCGGCAUGGUAAGCCAGAUGUGAAAGUCUUGGGCUUAACCCGAGGAUUGCAGUUGGAACUAUCAAGCUAGAGUACAGGAGAGGAAAGCGGAAUUCGUAGUGUAGCGGUGAAAUGCGUAGAUAUUAGGAAGAACACCAGUGGCGAAGGCAGCUUUCUGGACUGAAACUGACGCUGAGGCACGAAAGUGUGGGGAGCGAACAGGAUUAGAUACCCCAGUAGUC